AAGUUCGACAACAAGAGGAACCAUGAAUCUUUUAUAAAUUAAUAACUCCUGUUAAUUUAUUUAUAUGGUGGCACAAAAUCGGAAGCCCCGACUGUUUACUAAAAACACAGCUGUCUGCGAUUAUGAAAAUAAUAGUAUAGAUAGCGAGAUUUGCCCAAUGCCAUAUGAAUAAGUAAAAUAAUGGGUAACUGUUUCUUUAUAAAAAGGUGGUUAAUAGCGGUCUUAACUAUGAGGAUCCUAAGGUAGCAAAAUAAAUUGGCCAUUAAAUGUGGUCCAGUAUCAAUAAUUUAACGAUGGCUUCACUGUCUCUACAACUUGCUCAGUGAAAUUGAAUUACCCGUGCAGAUGCGGGUUGCCUCAAAGAGGACGGGAAGACCCUAUGCAGCUUCUA
rnacentral:rRNA from 1 species